AUCAGCAGUGAGACGCCUCCUCCCGAGAAGGUGAGGAGGCGUCUCAAAAUCUUGGAGCCCUCAGGCCUCAUCAUAUCUCUAUAACUGCUGCUACAAAACCCUCUUAGCUUUAGUCUAGAUCUCCUACAGCUUUAUAAACAAUCCCCACCUACGUGAUGAUAAUUCCUCAUGGUCUUCUAUACAGACCACAACGCCAUUGACCCAUCGUUUCAUCUCUGAGUUAUGGGCCAAUAGAAGAAGUGCCCCCAAGCUGGAUCAGUUCCAGAGAGAUCAGACGAUUUGCCCGAGUACUCGUCUGAGGAUGAAGGAGACUGAGCUCGAAGCUCCUUGUCUUACAGGAGAACUUGUCCUUCACUGACACCAUCUCUCUCUCUAACCUGUACUUACAGCGCAUGUGCGAAGUGGAGGAUAAUAGGUGCUUCACUAAAGCAAUUACAGCGUCCUCUCGUCUGCUGAGUUUCUCUACUCCCAUUGUCCUCAGUUCCUUCAACUUUUCAAGCAUAUCUGAGUACUAUUUUAAGAUCAUUCAGAACAGGCUCUCAAUCAGCCUCAUGUGAGCAUCUGGCUUCCGAAAAUGGCCAAACCUGUUUGUUACAGAGUGUACACAAGGCAGGGAUGAACAGAAGAAAGGAUCAUUUCCUUCUGGAUCGAGAAGAUGGCGUAGGCAGUCUAAUAAGCUUAAAAAGUUCGUUAGCCAUCUUGAAGAAAUUAGAUUGACUUUUUGAGAAUAAUGAAACUUGGCGAGCAUCUUCCCCGUGAAUCAUUUUGAUUUAAGUCGAGAUUGACAUGGAUGUGAUGACAAUUUAAGAAAAAGAUGUGAGCACAAGAAUUCGGAAGAAUUUGUGAAACCUUUUGCAUUGUCUAGAAGUUGCAAGUCUUCAACAGCAUAGGCAUAUCUUUCGUAGUUCCUUCUAUUCUUGAGGAACAUGAGUUGUCAGUAGACCAAAAUAAUGAUGAUUCACGAGGCAAAUGCUAUCCAUGCUUCCUCUCAAAAAGCCUAUCUGGCUUCUUCAAGAUGGCCAGAGAACUUCUCUGCUCUUCAGACUGAUGCCAUCACCUUCUCCUCCAAGGCAAUCCCAAUUCUUUUGACCGAUCUCAUUUUCCCUCGCUGAUAAACAGAUUUGACUUCUCGGAAUCCAGAGGAUGAUACAUUCAAACUGAGCUAGGCAGGAGGCUGUCUUGCAGGCAUCUUAACUUUUGAUCUACUUUUUUUUUUUGACAAUGAGUAUUUUGAUCUGCUUGAACUGUUUGGAUGUUGAGAAUAAACAAGAGGCUAGCUAGGAGAGACUACUGAAGCAGAGGACUAGAGGAGUAUGGCCGGAUUUGUAUGAGUUAAAGGGGGCGAUGGAGCAAGUGAAGGACAAGUACUCGUGCGAGAGGAGGAGCUUCCAGCCCUGCCGCUUCAUCCUUGGACGAGUACUCGUCCAAAAUCUUCAGUUCUCCCUGUAACUGACGCAGCUGGGUGUAUGUUGGUCUUUAUCAGUUGUGAAUGUCUACUUAUUUUGUUUGGGGUAUAGUGAUUUUUCAUGAAUUUUGCUGUUGUGUUGAAUAGUAUGGUAUGAUGUGAUGAUUGUAACUAGUGAAAAGGGAAUAAUAAAAUUCGUUCUCUAUUUUCGAUUC